GAACGGGUGAGUACACGUGGGUGAUCUGCCCUGCACUUUGGGAUAAGCCUGGGAAACUGGGUCUAAUACCGAAUAGGACCACGCGCUUCAUGGUGUGUGGUGGAAAGCUUUUGCGGUGUGGGAUGGGCCCGNGNNNUNUCAGCUUGUUGGUGGGGUAAUGGCCUACCAAGGCGACGACGGGUAGCCGGCCUGAGAGGGUGACCGGCCACACUGGGACUGAGAUACGGCCCAGACUCCUACGGGAGGCAGCAGUGGGGAAUAUUGCACAAUGGGCGCAAGCCUGAUGCAGCGACGCCGCGUGAGGGAUGACGGCCUUCGGGUUGUAAACCUCUUUCAAUAGGGACGAAGCGCAAGUGACGGUACCUAUAGAAGAAGCACCGGCCAACUACGUGCCAGCAGCCGCGGUAAUACGUAGGGUGCGAGCGUUGUCCGGAAUUACUGGGCGUAAAGAGCUCGUAGGUGGUUUGUCGCGUUGUUCGUGAAAACUCACAGCUUAACUGUGGGCGUGCGGGCGAUACGGGCAGACUAGAGUACUGCAGGGGAGACUGGAAUUCCUGGUGUAGCGGUGGAAUGCGCAGAUAUCAGGAGGAACACCGGUGGCGAAGGCGGGUCUCUGGGCAGUAACUGACGCUGAGGAGCGAAAGCGUGGGGAGCGAACAGGAUUAGAUACCCUGGUAGUCCACGCCGUANACGGUGGGUACUAGGUGUGGGUUCCUUCCUUGGGAUCCGUGCCGUAGCUAACGCAUUAAGUACCCCGCCUGGGGAGUACGGCCGCAAGGCUAAGACUCAAAGGAAUUGACGGGGGCCCGCNNNAGCGGCGGAGCAUGUGGAUUAAUUCGAUGCAACGCGAAGAACCUUACCUGGGUUUGACAUGCACA
rnacentral:rRNA from 1 species